rnacentral:rRNA from 1 species
UUCGACCUCAAAUCAGGUAG